rnacentral:rRNA from 1 species
AGCAGCCGCGGUAAUUCCAGCUCCAAUAGCGUAUAUUAAAGUUGUUGCAGUUAAAAGCUCGUAGUUGAAUUUCGGGGUUAGCAGGUCGGUCGUGCCAAUGGUAUGCACUGGCCUUGCUGAUUCCUCCCUCUUGAUGAACCGUAAUGCCAUUAAUUUGGUGUUGCGGGGAAUCAGGACUGUUACUUUGAAAAAAAUUAGAGUGUUUAAAGCAGGCAAGCGCUUGAAUACAUUAGCAUGGAAUAAUGAAAUAGGACGUUUGAUCCUAUUUUUGUUGGUUUCUAGGAUUGACGUAAUGAUUAAUAGGGAUAGUUGGGGGCAUUAGUAUUCAAUUGUCAGAGGUGAAAUUCUUGGAUUUAUUGAAGACUAACUACUGCGAAAGCAUUUGCCAAGGAUGUUUUCAUUAAUCAAGAACGAAAGUUAGGGGAUCGAAGACGAUCGGAUACCGUCGUAGUCUUAACCAUAAACUAUGCCGACUAGGGAUCGGGUGAUGUUAAUUUUUAAUGACUCAUUCGGCGCCUUA